GAUUGAACGCUGGCGGCAGGCCUAACACAUGCAAGUCGAACGGUAACAGGAAGCAGCUUGCUGCUUUGCUGACGAGUGGCGGACGGGUGAGUAAUGUCUGGGAAACUGCCUGAUGGAGGGGGAUAACUACUGGAAACGGUGGCUAAUACCGCAUAACGUCGCAAGACCAAAGAGGGGGACCUUCGGGCCUCUUGCCAUCAGAUGUGCCCAGAUGGGAUUAGCUAGUUGGUGAGGUAACGGCUCACCAAGGCGACGAUCCCUAGCUGGUCUGAGAGGAUGACCAGCCACACUGGAACUGAGACACGGUCCAGACUCCUACGGGAGGCAGCAGUGGGGAAUAUUGCACAAUGGGCGCAAGCCUGAUGCAGCCAUGCCGCGUGUAUGAAGAAGGCCUUCGGGUUGUAAAGUACUUUCAGCGGGGAGGAAGGUGUUGUGGUUAAUAACCRCAGCAAUUGACGUUACCCGCAGAAGAAGCACCGGCUAACUCC
rnacentral:rRNA from 1 species